rnacentral:rRNA from 1 species
UACGUAGGCAGCGAGCGUUGUUCGGAGUUACUGGGCGUAAAGGGUGUGUAGGCGGUCCUCUAAGUCUGGUGUGAAAUCUCCCGGCUCAACUGGGAGGGUGCGCCGGAAACUGGAGGGCUAGAGUACUGGAUGGGAGAGUGGAAUUCCUGGUGUAGCGGUGAAAUGCGUAGAUAUCAGGAGGAACACCGGUGGUGUAGACGGCUCUCUGGACAGUAACUGACGCUGAGACACGAAAAGCGUGGGUAGCAAACAGG